CUUAGUUCCAGAGGACUGUGAUGUCACAGAAAGCCUUUUAGGAGCUGUCUUUCUGUCUCUCUGAUCCAGAGUUUACCUCUGCCCUUUAUUCCUCUUACAAAGGACAAGUGGCCAAAGACAUAAUGUUCUUGCCUACCACUCCAAUCACCUCCCAAUCCUAUAGGAGAACAGGGGAAAGUUCUGAGAGUAGUCAGCUUUUAUAAAAGACAACCAAGCUUCUACAUUUGCCACCCCUCAAGCCCCAAACCCUGGGAAGAACAAAAGGAAAAGAAAUUGGCACCAUAUCAGAGCUAAUUUUCCAAAAUCCAAUUCCACUCACUGGCAAAUAGGACUUCAGAGACCAAGAAUAGAAGGAAGAUGGGGGUCUGCAAUGCUCCAAUUCCACUUCUCCCUGAUCCUUUUGAAUCUAAAACCUGAAAUGGAGCCAAUGGAGAGCUAGAGACAGAAAAAUCUGACCAAACCUGGUUUUAAGAGCACGUCCUUUGAAAAGAGGCUCAUCUCCUUAUUAGUUCUCCAAGCAGCAUGUCCUCUCUAGAUCAAGAC